GAGUUCCAAAGUCCAGAACUGAUUUCCCCAAGGAUGUCUCACUGGAUAUGAAGUUUCACUAAAUUCACCAACCCCAUACCAAAAUGUCGGGAGGGUCACCAUUAACCACAAUGUGCUCAAUUCUUCAGAGCAGUUAUAUCUCUCCCGGAUUGUGGUUCUUCUCACCCAUCUUCCUGCUUUUGAUCACUUUCCCACUUCGUAAUGUCACACCAAGUAAGUGUAUGUUGCAGCAUUACUAAGUGCCCCUGUCAUAACAAUCUUAUAUUAACUUUUAAAAAGAAAAA
rnacentral:lncRNA from 1 species